rnacentral:rRNA from 1 species
GAUGAACGCUGGCGGCGUGCCUCAAACAUGCAAGUCGAGCGGGGCUAUGUAAUAUCGCAAGGUAGAACAUAGCCUAGCGGCGAACGGGUGAGUAACACGUGGGUAACCUGCCUGGAAGACAGGGAUAACGAUUCGAAAGGGUCGCUAAUACCUGAUAAUAUCCUUUCAUCGCAUGGUGAUAGGAAGAAAGGGGAAACCCGCUUUCAGAUGGGCCCGCGUCCCAUCAGCUAGUUGGUAAGGUAAAGGCUUACCAAGGCGACGACGGGUAGCCGGUCUGAGAGGAUGUACGGCCACACUGGGACUGAGAUACGGCCCAGACUCCUACGGGAGGCAGCAGUUGGGAAUCUUAGGCAAUGGACGAAAGUCUGACCUAGCGACGCCGCGUGAGGGAAGAAGGCCUUCGGGUUGUAAACCUCUGUCAUGGGGAAGAAGUAAGUGACGGUACCCCAAGAGGAAGCCCCUGCUAACUACGUGCCAGCAGCCGCGGUAAAGGUUGUACA